CGCUUCAUAAAUAUCAGUGUGAAGUCGACGCUUCAUAAACAUCAGUGUGAAGUCAAUGCUUCCAAACUAACAAAGUUUGUCUCCAUCUAGUGGUGAACAGGAGAAAUGCGCCGCUUCCAGAGACACAGCUGAAAGCAGUGAUAAUCAGAGCACAUGGAGCUUAGGAACAAUGCACAGAGUGCAGAGGAUCCAGGCUGUCUGAGGACAGGCCUUGAAGGCGUUCCUUGGUGCUUUCUGUGAGACGUUGCAGUGGAUUGAACUCGACAAGCUGCUGUCCUGUGAAGAGGUCCCUGACUGCAGCAUGGCCUGCCUGGCAGAUAAAGCAUGUUCUUUGGCAGAUGAUUAGUGCUCAGACAAAAGUCGGAUCUUGCGAGGAGGAACAGUGGCAACGUCAGGCGUGUUGGCCUGUUCCUCAACUCUGACGACCACAUCACAGCACCAGCGCCUCCAGUGCCUCUGCCUGCACCUGGUCAUCCACCAGCCAGGCCCCGCCUGUGGUCUGAGGAGACGUCUUCAUGUGCUGCUGUGUCAGGUUAUCGGUUUUCUUGUUAUCUCUGUAUGGCAUGGUUUUUUUUCACCUCAUAUUUUCUUCCCUCACGCAGGCUACCACUAAGUGUAGUGAUAAAAAUUAUAUUAUUCAUAGUAUAGUUAAAUAAAUUAAUGUAGAUGUUGUAUUAAUAAAUUAAA
rnacentral:lncRNA from 1 species